ACCUGGGUCUGAAUUCCAGGGCGCCACUUCCUCUGAAGUAGAACCUCCAAGGGGUUCCUCUCUAAACCCCCAGUAGGCCUGUGCAGUUUAAGACUUUAAAGAAGGAACAUCCUAAUUACCACCAAGGACCAAUCAGAAUCCUGGGAUCUGACUAAUCAGGUCCCAGGCAUCACUUGGCACCUCGAGGCAGCUCCCAAAAUUGCAGACAGAGGCUCCAGAGGAAAUUGUCAGUCUCUACAAGGCUUGCCUGGUGUUUCCAAAACUUAUUCGAUGACAUCACAAGUAAGACUCGGCAAUUAGGUUAAGGGAGUCUGGCCGGUGAAGACAGACAGAAGCUGGCAGGCAUUGGUUCAGGCAGGACAGAAACGGAGAUUGCCAAUAGGUGGAGGUGAGGAUAGAGCCGAGCACCUUGGAAGGAGAGUGAAAAACCAGUUGGCAUUACCGAACACGUUCACAAGCACAGUCCUCCUUUAUUCUCAGCAGCCCUGCGUGGUGGGAGAUAAUUACACCCCUUCUACAGAUAUACUGAGCUCAAACGCCGUGUCCUCCAAGAAGCACUGCUGGAUCUACACAGCUAGAAAGGUGUCUUUUUCCGCCGAACCCUAGGACACUCUUGUUAGUGCAGACCCCAUCCCAAGCCACAACUGAUAUCCGACGCCAGGACAUCAGAACUGAGACAUUAAUUGGCCUGUCUCUCACUGUUGGAGCCACGAGAUGUGAAAAAUAAAAGCCGUUAGCCACCAUUCUCUCUGCCACAAGAAGGAACCCUGUCUGCCACUAGAGAGAGAAAACAGUUCACACAGAGGGACAGAGAGACAGAGAGACAAAGACCCAUUUGUUCUGGAAAUUUUCUGCCCUUGUCAGGAGUGGCUGGUUGGUUGACUUCACUGUCCACUACGUAACCGCCAAUAAAAUCUUCUUCCAGUAAAUCUUUCUUUAUUAAGGUGGCCAGAAUAGUUUUAUGUGUCUCUCAACACAAAGACAUCAAUGAAUGCAGCUACUCUGCCAGGGCUGUCCAACCUUUCGGUGUCUCUGGGCCACACUGGAAGAAGGAGAGUUGUCUUGGGCCACCCAUUAACUACACAAACACUAAUGAAAACUGUUUUUCAUCUGGAAAUCCGGGUCCCACAGUCGGGAAAGUAAUUCUUUGGGAGAGCUCACACUGGGCACUGAAGUAGACAUAGAAUCGGUUAGAGAGAGGACCACUUCCGGUGGAGGAGACUGCAUGAGCAAAAGCUUGAAGAUAAAGAAAAUGGAGCCUCUGAGAGGUGAUGUGGCUGGCCCAGUCAGAGUUAUCAGAAGUUGAGGAGGAUUUGAACCCAUUUCUUCUGGACUGUAGAGGCCAAACUCUGAACAAUUGUGUUACUAGCCACACCAUUGUGGGGCCUCUGCUCCGACCCCAGCUGCCUGCCUGACCCAGCAGCUAUGGGUGGCCUCACUCUUGUGCGUGGGCAGCAGGGCAAGAACCCUCCAAGUUCCUUGAGAACCAAAUAUGGACAGACCGGGCCCUCUGAGGCCCGACCCCAAGUCUGGGCUUGCUCCUGCCUGCUCAUCUGGGCUUGGGCCCUUUUCCCUACACAACCUCCUGGCUGUGCCCUGGAGGACUCUGGGAGA